rnacentral:lncRNA from 1 species
CUUUCAGAUUGGCUAAUAUUGCCAAAAAGGAAAAUGAUAAAUGUUAGAGGGGAUGUAGGAAAAUUGGGACAAUAAUACACUAUUGGAAAUGUGAACUGAUAUAACCACUUUUGAGUGUAAUCUGGAACCACUCCCAAAGGGCCAUGAUACUAUGCACAACUAUUUGUGAAUUUUAAAAAGUCUCCAUCUUGGUCUAGCACCCAAAAUUGUGCACACCCACACUACACGGGCAUGUGCUAGUCAAUGACAAAUCAGAAAUAACUAACUGCCCACCUGGGCUGUCCUAAGCCAAGCUAGAGCCAACCAUUGGAUUUUGUGAGACACAGGAAGUGAGGUAGGGAGCAGCCUCUGGAAUUCGCUCACUUCCUGUGGGGAGAGGGAGAUGCCAGUUGGUGUUAGGAGGAGUUGGUGUUAGGAGCUUGGACAGAGAGGACGCCCGCAGACAGCUUUCCUUCAGAUGGGUCACGUAUUUCUAAAUCAUGUUGCUUACAAUGUCAGAAGAGACGAUUGUAUGGAAUUGAAGAAAGAUUAAUGUCGAGUGACAGCUAG